rnacentral:rRNA from 1 species
CCCUUCGAUACUCUGGGCGGCACGCGCGCUACAAUGAAUCACGCAGCAUGUUACACUGCCCGAUAGGCAAUGUUAAUCAUGAGUGUGAGUUCUUGAAUGGGAUAGUUUCUUGCAAUUUUCGGACUUGAAAUAGGAAUCCCUUGUAAAUGCGUUAAAGAACAGCGCAUUGAAUACGUCCCUGUGGAAUGUACACACCGCCCGUCGUUUCUUCCGACUGAUACUCAAUGUGAAUUAUGGGGAGUUAAUUCAAACCGUCGUGAAUGUUGAGUAUUGGAGGAAGAAAAAGUCGUAACA